AACUAAGCAUAUCAAUAAGCGGAGGAAAAAGAAACCAACAGGGAUUGCCUCAGUAACUGCGAGUGAAGCGGCAAGAGCUCAAAUUUGAAAUCUGGCAGCAAUGUCCGAAUUGUAAUUUGUAGAAGCGUCUUUUGAUAGGUACCUGCAUAUGUUCCUUGGAACAGGACAUCAUAGAGGGUGAGAAUCCCGUUCAUGGUGGGCUACCGAUUCUUUGUAAAGUGCUUUCGACGAGUCGAGUUGUUUGGGAAUGCAGCUCUAAGUGGGUGGUAAAUUCCAUCUAAAGCUAAAUAUUGGCGAGAGACCGAUAGCGAACAAGUACAGUGAUGGAAAGAUGAAAAGUACUCCGAAAGGAGAGUGAAAUAGGACGUGAAAUUGUUAAAAGGGAAGUGCUUGAGAUCAGUCAUGAAAUUUGUAAUCAUCUGUCCUUUUGGGCAGUGCACUUGCUAUUUUCAGGCCAGCAUCAGUUUGGGUGGUAGGAUAAUGUCGCUUGAAUGUGGCUUCUUCGGGAGUGUUAUAGCCUGCGUCGAUACUACUUACCUAGACUGAGGACCGCGCGUUAGCUAGGAUGCUGGCAUAAUGAUCUUAAGCAGCCCGUCUUGAAACACGGACCAAGGAGUCUAACAACUAUGCGAGUGUUUGGGUGUUAAACCCGUACGCAUAAUGAAAGUGAACGUAGGUGGGAACUAGAAAUAGUGCACCAUCGACCGAUCCAGAUGUCUUCGGAUGGAUUUGAGUAAUAGCAUAGCUGUUGGGACCCGAAAGAUGGUGAACUAUGCCUGAAUAGGGUGAAGCCAGAGGAAACUCUGGUGGAAGCUCGUAGCGAUUCU
rnacentral:rRNA from 1 species